rnacentral:rRNA from 1 species
UACAGAGGUCCCAAGCGUUGUUCGGAUUCACUGGGCGUAAAGCGCACGUAGGCGGCUUCUUAAGUCAGGGGUGAAAUCCUGGAGCUCAACUCCAGAACUGCCUUUGAUACUGAGGAGCUUGAGUCCGGGAGAGGUGAGUGGAACUCCGAGUGUAGAGGUGAAAUUCGUAGAUAUUCGGAAGAACACCAGUGGCGAAGGCGGCUCACUGGCCCGGUACUGACGCUGAGGUGCGAAAGCGUGGGGAGCAAACAGG